AGAAGAAUCCAACCUGGGGCCAGUGACAAGGCUUGAUCACUCAGAGCUUUUGUGUAAUAAAGUUUCAUUAAGGUAUAAAAGAGAUAGAUAAAGCUUCUUACAUAGACAUCAGAAUGGGGCAGAAAGAGUGCACCCCUGCUAGUCUUUAGCAGGAAGUUAUAUACCUACUAGUAGGCUGCUAA